UGGCUCGCUAUGGUGGCGUACCCCGAAAGGGCGCGGCGUUGUUUGAAACGCAGGACACCUAAAGCGGGCUUUU
rnacentral:ncRNA from 1 species